rnacentral:rRNA from 1 species
CUAGCGAUUCAGAGUUUUGAUCCUGGCUCAGAUUGAACGCUGGCGGCAUGCCUUACACAUGCAAGUCGAACGGCAGCACAGUAAGAGCUUGCUCUUAUGGGUGGCGAGUGGCGGACGGGUGAGGAAUACAUCGGAAUCUACCUUUUCGUGGGGGAUAACGUAGGGAAACUUACGCUAAUACCGCAUACGACCUUCGGGUGAAAGCAGGGGACCUUCGGGCCUUGCGCGGAUAGAUGAGCCGAUGUCGGAUUAGCUAGUUGGCGGGGUAAAGGCCCACCAAGGCGACGAUCCGUAGCUGGUCUGAGAGGAUGAUCAGCCACACUGGAACUGAGACACGGUCCAG